CGCACAUUGCGCCCAUCAGUACUCUGGUGGGCAUGCCUGUUCGAGCGUCAUUUCAACCCUCAGGCCCUGUACUGCCUGGCGUUGGGGCUUCUGCGAGCGGUUCACCAAGAACUACUCGCAGGCCCCCAAGAUCAGUGGCGGGCCCGCCGCGGCUCCGAGCGUAGUAGUUUACUUUCUCGCUUGGGAGGCUCGGCGGGUUCCCAGCCGUCAAAAACACCACUGUAAUUUUUUUUUACAAAAGAUUGACCUCGGAUCAGGUAGGAAUACCCGCUGAACUUAA
rnacentral:misc_RNA from 1 species